ACCUCAAAUCAGGUAAGAAUACCCGCUGAACUUAAGCAUAUCAAUAAGCGGAGGAAAAGAAAAUAACAAUGAUUCCCUCAGUAACGGCGAGCGAAGAGGGAUAAGCUCAAAUUUUAAAUCUGUUGGGUUCCACUUAACAGAGUUGUAUUUUGAAGAAACGUUUUCUGCAUCCAGGAUUAGCCUAAAUCCUUUGGGAUAAGGUAUCAUGGAGGGUGAGAAUCCCGUUCAUGGUUAAUCUUAAGGAAGCUCUACGAUACGUUUUCCAAGAGUCGAGUUGUUUGGGAUUGCAGCUCAAAAUGGGAGGUAAAUUUCUCCUAAGGCUAAAUAUUGGCGAGAGACCGAUAGCGAACAAGUACCGUGAGGGAAAGAUGAAAAGAACUUUGAAAAGAGAGUUAAACAGUACGUGAAAUUGUUGAAAGGGAAACGAUUGAAGUCAGUCAUACCAACGGGAAAUCAACCUUUUGAGCUCGGUCUCGUGGGUUUUGAAGAGUUUCAAAGCCUUCGGAUUCGCGGGAUUGGGAUCUCUUGGUGUACUUUUUCGUACGGUUAGUCAACAUCGGUUUUGGAUGUCAUAAAAUGACUGGAGGAAUGUAGCUUCGAUCUCGUAUUGAAGUGUUAUAGCCUUUGGUAGAUGUGAUGUUUGAGACCGAGGAUUGCAACGGAUACCCUUCAGGGCUAUUCGUCUGAUCUCUGAUACGUUGCCUUGAUGUUGAAAGCUUGCUUAUGAUGUUAGGGUAUUACGGUCAAAAGGUUAGAACGGAUUAGAUUCGUUAAGGAUGUUGACGUAAUGACUUUAAACGACCCGUCUUGAAACACGGACCAAGGAGUCUAACAUAUAUGCGAGUGUUA
rnacentral:rRNA from 1 species